GCUUCUGGACUCAAAAUGAAUUACAUCACUGGCUUUCCUAGUUCUCCAGCUUGCAGAUGGCAGAUCAUGCGACUCCUCAGCUUCCAAAAUCAUAUGAGCAAACUAUGGAUAAUGGAAUGACUACGGAUACUUUCUCAAGUGGAGCAGAAGUGCCUGGUCAAACUAAGCCUCCUCUUCUGACCUUCAGGCCCAGUGCAUGGAGUGGUAACCCAGCUGUCUUUUAUAGGACCUCUGGCAAAAGAGAAUACCAGGCUGCUGGGCCUAUGAGGGGGACCUGAUGGAAGACACCAGCCCUCCAACUAUGUAACACAGGACUCAGCACUAUUUACUGACCAGCCUUCAUCAACCACCUGCUACUAUGAGCAGCUCAUUUGUGGACUAGCAUAUUUCUCCUGGCUCUUAUGCCCCUGGAGUGCUGAAUCAGAGCUGGAAGCAGCCAACAUUUCUAAUUCCCUGUUUCCAACUGGACUUGACAGAUGAUAAAGUAAGUGUUUCAAAGGCAGAGAGGAGAAUUUCAUAGUAAGCAAUGAGAUAAAUGGACUAUAAGAUGCAGCCAAAUUACUUUCCUCUCUGAAGCAAGAUGUCUUGUCCAACAAGGCACUCUUCUCUCAGGCCUAGCAAACACCCACCAGAAGCAGUUCAUCUUUAGACACAGUAUCAAGGCCUUCCCUGCACAGGCAGUUUCUCCUUUUUCUGAUGUGCUGUUUUCUGUUUCUCUUGCUGAUAUAUCUUUAUUAACUUCAGAUUUCAUAAGGAUUCAAACUUUCAAAACUGAGUUGUGUUUCAAUUUCUAGGGAAGAGAUAGAAGGACACACACAAACAUGUGGCAUUUAUAUUCAGACUGUCCUGAUGGUCUGAGAAAGCAAGGUAGCAAGCAUGAGGAAGAAACAGGUGUUGACCAAGAAGGUUCUCAAUGGAGAGAUAGGCCAACGCUUCUAGGAAGCAGAGCACUGGAUUGCUCCACACUGCCAUACCAUGGCAGGCACUGGGCCUCCUGAGAAUGCCCACAGUUCCAGAGACUGUGACAAGGGAGGUCACGGCAGGUAUGGUCACCUCUUGGAGUCAAGUCAACCAUCAGUAAAUUGAAGAACCCACUAUUUUUAUAUUUUAAAAAGUCUAUAAGCAGCAACAGCAACAAGAAGAUGGUGUUCUGGAUCUCUGCAUUACUAGAAGGAAAAGAGAAAAAAAUUCAAAACUAUUUCUACUUGAGAGCUAAAAGCUGUUUCCUGUAAAUUUAACUCCAAAAUGAAAAUCAUGAGAAAAUGUUCUUCUCUCUGGAAAUUCUGCACACUGAAAUAUUUCUUUGCAGUGAAAAUUGGCCUAUUUUAUUCUAUCAAUAUGAUUAACCUUUCUAUAAACUUGUCCUAGGUGGAAAUUCAUUUUCUUUUCUAGCCAGAAAUGUUGUCAUUUAUGUAUCUAAAAACUAGUGUUAGUGGGAAGAAAGGACUUUUUUUUCCAGAACCUAAAAAUAGUUGCGCCACUUAAUUUUGAAAAAGCUUCUCAGUCAAGGCAAGUUUUCUGCUCCUUCAUAGCCCUGGGAUUACAUGCAUUUGCACCUGGGUUUCAUUUUUAAUUCUUUUCUUCCCUCUGUUUUUUCUUUGCUAUCAGCCAAUUUCUGUCCACAGAGCUCUGUGGACAAGAUCCUCCCUGUGAACCCAGGGGCAGAUCACAGAUUACUGAUUCUAGGAAAAUAUCCUUUCAAGUGUCAUGCAGAAACCUCUUGUUCAGAUACACCAUAUAACUCUUGAAUCUGUUAUUCCCAGAGAGUUAGAGCCUUUCCAGACACAUCUCACAUCAAGAUGCGAUAUCCAGGGGAGCAUAUAGAGCCAGCUGUCAACCCUCUUCCUUCCUCCACUGGAAGGACUGCCUUUCCCAUCUCCAUGCCUUCCUCUAGAAGCAGCAUGGGCUCCUGUGUGGUCUUGACCACUAAAAAAGUCCCGACAACCAUGUUGAUACGAAGGAGACAGCAGAUAUACCCCGCCCCUUCUGCAUUUCAGUAAAAUGAGUAGGGCAAGACUAAAUAAAAGGAAUGGCUGUAAUAGUGGAACUUGGCAAAUUAGUGGAGGAUACAAUUAAGAACAGAAUCUUCCAGAUACUGCUCAAAUCAUUCCCUAUGGGAAAAUAUCUUGGAACAUCUAAGAAUAUGUGCCACAAAAUAAAAGGGAAUAAAAUGUCUCUACUGAAUCAUUCUUUACUGAGAGAAAUAAGCUCUUAUACAGUGACAAUAACAAUAAUCAUAGUUAACAUUUAUUAAGCAUUUACUAUGUGCCAUGCACUCUAAAGGCUUUCCACGGAUUAAUCCUACAACCACCUCAGAAAGUAAAUAUUUUUAUUAUCUCCAUUUUACAGAUGAGGAAACUGAGGCACAGAGUGGUUUAGCAACUUGCCCAAGAUCACAUAGUCAGCAAGUGGCAAAAAAACGUAAUCUGAACUCGGUCUAAUUCCAGCACUUGAAUUCUUGACAAGAAACCAUGCAGCCACACACAGCCACAAAUACACAUACCACCUAAAGGCACACGAGUGUGCCAAACAUGCAUUGCACUGCUUUCCUCACAUCACAACUUGUAUUUUACUUCGUUUUCCCUUCAUAUAUUUUGCCCUCACUAAGUCUCCAUUGUUAGAAUUUACAUCACUCAGAUCCAAAGGGCUAUAAAGUGACAUGAGAUGGGGUAGGCUAGGGAAGGAGAAAGGAGAUGCAAUCCAUUCUUAAAGACCUCUAACUAUCUGCUUCGGUUUCUUGAAACAACAGCUUCUUAAGAGUAGGGCUUGUUCUUUGGAUUAUUUACUAAAUCUGUAUAUCCAUUUCUUGAGGUCCUUACAAAAUAGUAGUAAAAAGAAUGGAUGAUACACCUGACACUUGGGGAGUUUACAGGAUUUUCUCAGCAAAAGACUUAAAAAUAUUAUGUGGUAUUACUUAUUUCUAGAAAAACCUGUUUAAGAAAAAAAAGAUCACUGAUCUAAGCAUAGAGACAAAAUGAUUCAUCAGUAGGGUGAUAUAUAUUACUUAUAUUAAUAUAUACUUAUGUAUUUGCACAUGAAUGUGUGCAAAUAAUAUAAUAUAAUUAGUAUAAUGGAGUAAAUUCACCUAUCUUUGAAUGCCAGAACGCAAAAUUUAAAGUUACUAUAUUAGCAAAUGCAAACUUUCAUCAAUUAUACUCAUGAAAGUAGAAAAAGUGAGAGCACCUAUGUUUAAAUAGUGGGAGCAAAACUUAUAACCUCCUGUAUUGCUGAUGGCAGUGCAAACUGAGAAGCAAUAAUAUUCAUAUUCUUUGACAUUCUCAGUAAUCUCCUAUCUGAUAAUUUACUAAAAGGAAGUAAUCCAAAAGAUGGGAAGCCAGACUUGCAUCACAAUUAUUAUUCAUAAUAUAAAAAUUGAAAAUGACCUAAAUGUUAUUAUAACUUAAUGGCUCAUUAAGUUAUAGUGCAUCAACUUGAUUGAAUGGUAGGCAGCAACUUCCUAUCGUUGCCAAAAGAUUGUGGAGUUAUAAAAAUGCUUAAAGUAUAAUGCUGAGCAAAAAACUCUUUAAUAAAAAUUGUUUCUGUGCUUUGACUACAACUGCAUAAUAGUAUUUUAUGAAUGUUAACAGAUUUUUUUUGUUUUAUGCUUUCUAUGUUACAACUUUGAUGAAUCAAUAAAAAAAUUCUUACGUUUGAA